ACACCGGCUUUUAAGAGAUGAGGAAGGCCAAGGUCCUCCUUUCGAGUUGGAAAACCUGAGUGAUGAGGAAGUAGUUAAAAACUUUAGAUUCCAAAGGGGACAUCUUCAAAGAAUUAAAAAUGUUUUUUUAAUUCCUGAUGAGGUUGUCACGGAGGCUGGUGAUCGUGUCAAUGGAUUAAAAGCAUUGUGCAUAGUACUAAAGAGGUUAGCCUAUCCAAGUAGACUUAUUAACCUAAAAACCUUUUUCAAUAUGUCUGCGCAAUCAUUGUCUCAAGUAAUCCGGACAACAGUAGAUAUAAUGAUUGCCCAAAAAGGGGACCUUUUGUUGGACUUAAACCUUCUAUAGUGGUUAGACAGGCAAAAACUGGAAUCAUAUGCUCAAGCAAUUCUUGCAAAGGGGGCAGCUAUAAACAACUGCUGGGGAUUCAUUGAUGGAACUGCCCGUGCAAUAUGUCGUCCUUCCAUUAACCAGGAAGAAUACUAUUCUGGACACAAAAAGUUUCAUUGCCUCAAAUAUCAAAGUGUGCUUUGUCCAGAUGGCAUAAUCACAAGUUUAAUGGGAGCAUUUCCUGGACGUAGGCAUGAUGCAGGCAUAUUUAGGGAGAGCAAUUUGUACCAGCAACUGGAAGAGAAAGUAGUGUUUGGUGAAAACGAUAAAUUUGUUUUGUUUGGUGACCAGGGAUAUGGCCUUAUGGAAUUACUUAUCACCCCUUUUCCAGGACAGCCAAAUCUGUUGCCACCUCAACAAUUACAAUUUAAUAAUUCGAUGAAAACUCUUCGAGUUGCAGUUGAAUGGGGUUUUUCGAAAAUUAUACAACAAUUUGCAUUUAUAGAUUGAAAAAAAAUUAAAAACUAUUAAUGCAGGACUUGCAGUCCCUAUAUGAGGUCUCUGUAUUAUUAACAAAUGCACACACAUGUUUAUACGGUUGUCAAACAGCAGACUACUUUAAUCUGCAACCCCCAAAUUUAGAGGAAUAUUUUGGAUAGUUUUUUGUAAUAAUUGUUGAAAUUAAAAAAAAAAUAUUAUUUAUUA
rnacentral:lncRNA from 1 species